GACGAACGCUGGCGGCGUGCUUAACACAUGCAAGUCGAACGGAAAGGCCCCUUUGGGGGUACUCGAGUGGCGAACGGGUGAGUAACACGUGAGUAACCUGCCCUUGACUUCGGGAUAACUUCAGGAAACUGGGGCUAAUACCGGAUAGGAAUCCUUGCUGCAUGGUGGGGGUUGGAAAGCUUCGGCGGUUUUGGAUGGACUCGCGGCUUAUCAGCUUGUUGGUGGGGUAGUGGCUUACCAAGGCUUUGACGGGUAGCCGGCCUGAGAGGGCGACCGGCCACAUUGGGACUGAGAUACGGCCCAGACUCCUACGGGAGGCAGCAGUGGGGAAUAUUGCAUAAUGGGCGGAAGCCUGAUGCAGCAACGCCGCGUGCGGGAUGACGGCCUUCGGGUUGUAAACCGCUUUCAGCAGGGGCGAAGCUUGUGGUGACGGUACCUGCAGAAGAAGCACCGGCUAACUACGUG
rnacentral:rRNA from 1 species